rnacentral:misc_RNA from 1 species
GUGAAUUAAACAUGCUUGGUGUCUUCGCUUCGGCAAGGCCCUUGCUUAAAUCACAUCCUAACACCUGUGAACUGUAAGACGUAUGAUGAGGUCUUUGGCCAAGUCAUCGUCUGCCCCUUUUUAACAAACAAUUAAUGUAACAAACGUAGUCUUAUUAUAACCUAAUA